rnacentral:rRNA from 1 species
UCCUACGGGAGGCAGCAGUGGGGAAUAUUGGGCAAUGGGCGCAAGCCUGACCCAGCAACGCCGCGUGAAGGAAGAAGGCCCUCGGGUUGUAAACUUCUUUUAUCAAGGACGAAACAAAUGACGGUACUUGAUGAAUAAGCCACGGCUAACUACGUGCCAGCCGCCGCGGUAAUACGCAGGUGGCAAGCGUUAUCCGGAUUUACUGGGUGUAAAGGGCGUGUAGGCGGGACUGCAAGU